rnacentral:rRNA from 1 species
UACAGAGGGUGCGAGCGUUAACCGGAAUUACUGGGCGUAAAGCGUGCGUAGACGGUUAUUUAAGUCAGAUGUGAAAGCCCCGGGCUCAACCUGGGAAUUGCAUUUGAGACUGAAUAGCUAGGGUGCGGUAGAGGGAAGCGGAAUUUCCGGUGUAGCGGUGAAAUGCGUAGAUAUCGGAAGGAACAUCAGUGGCGAAAGCGGCUUCCUGGACCAGCACCGACGUUCAGGCACGAAAGCGUGGGGAGCGAACAGG